UACAGGGGGGGCAAGCGUUGUUCGGAAUUACUGGGCGUAAAGGGUUCGUAGGUGGCCAACUAAGUCAGACGUGAAAUCCCUCAGCUUAACUGGGGAACUGCGUCUGAAACUGGAUGGCUUGAGUGCAGGAGAGGAACGCGGAAUUCCAGGUGUAGCGGUGAAAUGCGUAGAUAUCUGGAGGAACACCGGUGGCGAAGGCGGCGUUCUGGACUGUAACUGACACUGAGGAACGAAAGCCAGGGGAGCAAACGGG
rnacentral:rRNA from 1 species